CUCAAGUUCUGUAUGAGAAUUCCUCUAGAUGCAGUUCAAAAUUUAUUGUGAGAACUCCAGUUUUGUCACAGUCUUUUUUUCUAGGUAAGAGGAGCAAUGAAACAGCUCCUUGACCACUUGCCUGCAGUGUUCUUGAUCCAAUUUUUUUUUUUAACAGGACCUAAGUACAUUCAUCUCCCUUUCCUGCAAGUGAGUGAUGAUGAAGGAAGUAAAGAGAUGUAUAAAGUACCAGACAGUGGCAGAAAUGAGGAACUAAGGCUUUCCUUCCCAAUAAAAUCUCCAAAUGCAAUAAUGCUGUUUUCUGUGGAAGAAGAAUGUUGCUCUUUAAAAAGUAAGUGGCUCCCAGAUAAGUUUUGUGGCACAUUUCAUCAUAGCAUUUCCAUUGAUUUUAGAUGUUGCAGUAGCUCUUUCAGCUUUUAGAAACUUGGCAACAGUGCAUUAGAGUAACUCGAGAUUAUUGCCAAUUCAGAAAGGGAGCAGAGAAUGAUGCUUUCAUGAAUUUGUGGUGCCUGUAUCUGUGAAACUCUGAAACGCG
rnacentral:lncRNA from 1 species